rnacentral:rRNA from 1 species
UACGGGAGGCAGCAGUAGGGAAUCUUCCGCAAUGGACGAAAGUCUGACGGAGCAACGCCGCGUGAGUGAUGAAGGUUUUCGGAUCGUAAAGCUCUGUUGUUAGGGAAGAACAAGUGCCGUUCAAAUAGGGCGGCACCUUGACGGUACCUAACCAGAAAGCCACGGCUAACUACGUGCCAGCAGCCGCGGUAAUACGUAGGUGGCAAGCGUUGUCCGGAAUUAUUGGGCGUAAAGGGCUCGCAGGCGGUUUCUUAAGUCUGAUGUGAAAGCCCCCGGCUCAACCGGGGAGGGUCAUUGGAAACUGGGGAACUUGAGUGCAGAAGAGGAGAGUGGAAUUCCACGUGUAGCGGUGAAAUGCGUAGAGAUGUGGAGGAACACCAGUGGCGAGCGACUCUCUGGUCUGUAACUGACGCUGAGGAGCGAAAGCGUGGGGAGCGAACAGGAUUAGAUACCCUGGUAGUCCACGCCGUAAACGAUGAGUGCUAAGUGUUAGGGGGUUUCCGCCCCUUAGUGCUGCAGCUAACGCAUUAAGCACUCCGCCUGGAGAUACGGUCGCAAGACUGAAACUCAAAGGAAUUGACGGGGGCCCGCACAAGCGGUGGAGCAUGUGGUUUAAUUCGAAGCAACGCGAAGAACCUUACCAGGUCUUGACAUCCUCUGACAAUCCUAGAGAUAGGACGUCCCCUUCGGGGGCAGAGUGACAGGUGGUGCAUGGUUGUCGUCAGCUCGUGUCGUGAGAUGUUGGGUUAAGUCCCGCAACGAGCGCAACCCUUGAUCUUAGUUGCCAGCAUUCAGUUGGGCACUCUAAGGUGACUGCCGGUGACAAACCGGA